rnacentral:rRNA from 1 species
UACGUAGGGACCAAGCGUUGUUCGGAUUUACUGGGCGUAAAGGGCGCGUAGGCGGUUUUGUCAAGUCAGUUGUGAAAUCUCCGAGCUUAACUCGGAACGGUCAACUGAUACUGUCAAACUAGAGUCAGAAGGGGCAAUCGAAUUCUUGGUGUAGCGGUGAAAUGCGUAGAUAUCGGGAGGAACACCUGUGGCGAAAGCGGCGCACUGGACCACAACUGACGCUGAGGCGCGAAAGCUAGGGGGAGCAAACAGG